AUUUUCUUCGGAACUGAAGAUUUGGUGAUUGAGUGGCGGACGGGUGAGUAACGCGUGGGUAACCUGCCCUGUACAGGGGGAUAACAGUCAGAAAUGACUGCUAAUACCGCAUAAGACCACAGCACCGCAUGGUGCAGGGGUAAAAACUCCGGUGGUACAGGAUGGACCCGCGUCUGAUUAGCUGGUUGGUGAGGUAACGGCUCACCAAGGCGACGAUCAGUAGCCGGCUUGAGAGAGUGAACGGCCACAUUGGGACUGAGACACGGCCCAAACUCCUACGGGAGGCAGCAGUGGGGAAUAUUGCACAAUGGGGGGAACCCUGAUGCAGCGACGCCGCGUGAGUGAAGAAGUAUCUCGGUAUGUAAAGCUCUAUCAGCAGGGAAGAAAAUGACGGUACCUGACUAAGAAGCCCCGGCUAACUACGUGCCAGCAGCCGCGGUAAUACGUAGGGGGCAAGCGUUAUCCGGAAUUACUGGGUGUAAAGGGUGCGUAGGUGGUAUGGCAAGUCAGAAGUGAAAACCCAGGGCUUAACUCUGGGACUGCUUUUGAAACUGUCAGACUGGAGUGCAGGAGAGGUAAGCGGAAUUCCUAGUGUAGCGGUGAAAUGCGUAGAUAUUAGGAGGAACAUCAGCGGCGAAGGCGGCUUACUGGACUGAAACUGACACUGAGGCACGAAA
rnacentral:rRNA from 1 species